rnacentral:tRNA from 1 species
AGGUAGUUAGUUUAAGCAAAACAUUUGAUUUCGGCUCAAAAACUCGUGGUUAAAGUCCACACUUACCUA